rnacentral:snRNA from 1 species
GUGCUUGUUUCGGCAGCACAUUUAUUAAAAUUGGAACAACACAGAGUUUAGCAUGGCCUCUGUGCAAAGAGGACAAGCAAAUUCAUGAAGUGUUCCAUAUUUUU